rnacentral:rRNA from 1 species
GUGGAUUAGAUACCCGGGUAGUCCUGGCCCUAAACGGUGCGCAUUUGCUGUGAGCGGAAUCGACCCCGCUCGUGGCGAAGCUAACGCGUUAAAUGCGCCGCCUGGGAAGUACGGCCGCAAGGUUAAAACUCAAAGAAAUUGACGGGGGCCUGCACAAGCGGUGGAGUAUGUGGCUCAAUUCGAUGCAACGCGAAGAACCUUACCUGGCCUUGACAUGCAAGUGGUAGAACCAUGAAAGUGGGACGACCCCGCAAGGGGAGCUUGCACAGGUGCUGCACGGUGGUCGUCAACU